GGAGAACUAGCUCAUUUCGUUUGUCCAAAGAUUUAUUUGUUUUUGUUUCGCAUGUAUUUUUUAGGAAUUGAAUUUAGGUCUGAAAUGCUAUUUUUGUUAUUGUUGAUGAAUUACGAUGUGAUUCCAGUUCAUUUGAUGCUGUUUAGUGUUGUUUGUUUUGGUGAUUGCCUUACCUCCGUCUUUUGACUUAUACCUCGCCUUUCUUGGCGUUCUGGAUGUCUUAGCUGAAUGUGCUUAUAUUAUGAAUAAGCAAAAAAAGAAAAAGAAAUAAUGGUAAGUACUCCAUUUGAUCAGUCCUGGUAUUGACCCCAUCAUGUUCUCCAAUUGCCAAAAUCAAAAGGUUUGAAAAUGUCCCUAUCUGUAAGUACCGUGUGGAGCACAUUUAAAUGAUUAAAAUGUUUUUCAAUGUCCAAGUGACUUUGAGUGAAGCUAAAUAAGCUUCUUAACUAUCUAUUUCUAGUGUCAUACAAUUUUGUGAAAUUGAAGCCCGAUAUGUUCAUUCUUUUGAGCUAUGUAGCUUUUGGAUGCUGAUUUAUAAAUUGUAAAUUGUAGUUUAACUGAUGGAUUUGCAUUAUUGCAGGCAUGGCGCUUGUUUCU
rnacentral:misc_RNA from 1 species